CAAUGUUAGUUGUUGUUGUUGUUGUUGUUCUUGUUCUUGUUGUGAUUCUUGUUGUUCUUUUUAUUGUUGUUGUUCUUUUUGUUGUUGUUGAUCUUGUUGUUAUUCUUGUUGUUCUUUUUGUUGCUCUUAUUGUUGUUCUUGUUGUUCUUCUUCUUGUUUAUUGUUGUUAUUUUUGUUGUCAUUCCUGUUCCUGUUGUUCUUGUUGU
rnacentral:lncRNA from 1 species